rnacentral:rRNA from 1 species
AUGAAGGGGGCUAGCGUUGUUCGGAAUUACUGGGCGUAAAGCGAGUGUAGGUGGUUGUCCAAGUUGGAUGUGAAAGCCUUGAGCUCAACUCAAGAAAUGCAUUCAGGACUGGGCGGCUAGAGGACCGGAGAGGAUAGUGGAAUUCCCAGUGUAGUGGUGAAAUACGUAGAGAUUGGGAAGAACACCAGUGGCGAAGGCGGCUACCUGGACGGUUUCUGACACUAAGACUCGAAAGCGUGGGGAGCAAACAGGA